AAAAAGAAUCUGGUUGAAACCUCAGUAACAGUUGGCCUGUCUACUGCCUCACACUAACAAGUGACCCCCACCUUUACAAGUGUCUGUAAUUCUCACUAGCAGUAUAUUAGAGGGCAAAAGAUUUGAACAGACACAUCAGAAAAGAAGACAUACAAAUGGCCGCUAAGCACUUGAAAGGAUUCUGAACACCAUUAGUCAUCAGUGAAAUGCAAAUUAAAGCCAUAAUGAAUGGCGCUAUACAUUUUCAGAAUGGCAAGGAUUGAAGACCGAAAAAAAUCAAGCGUUGAGGAGAGUGACAAAUGGGGAGACAGCCGUGGUGCAUGAUCGCCGAAUAAAUACCAUGUGAGGAUACAGCAAGAAGGUGGCCAUCUACAAGCCAAGGAGACAGGCCUCAGAAGAAACCAACCCUUCUUACACCCUGGACUCAGACUUCUAAUCUCCAGAACUUGUUAAUGCACAAGGUCUUGUGUUGAAAAUGUAGAGCCACGAGAUAAAAGCAGCUUGGAUGGCUGACUCAUAUACAAGGACAACUGCCUGAGAGUCACCAGGGCUAUCAAGAAGUUUGCAGAAACAAGAAAUAAACUUUUACUGUUUUAAACUUUUGUGAAUUUUGGGUUUUGUUUAUCACCAAAUAAACCUAGUCUAUUCUGAUUGUUAUAAGUGGUUAAUUUGGGAAGUCAGAUAUAUUUAAAAUUGGCUUACUGCUGUAACAUAUACAGUCCAAAUUACAUAAUGGCUCAAAUGCAAUAGAAGUCUUUUUUUUUUUUGCUCACAUAUCACUUCACUGAGAUUCUGCAUUAAUUGUAAUGAUGAGGGUGAGGGUGUCUUAUAUCAUACAGUUGUUCAGCAACCCAGGAUGACCAACUUUGUAAUAUUUUUUCCCACUGGCUUCUAAAGUUCU
rnacentral:lncRNA from 10 species